rnacentral:tRNA from 1 species
GCCGGCGUAGCUCAGCGGAUAGAGCGCCUGCUUCCGAAGCAGGAGGGACCGAGUUCGAUUCUCGGCGCGGGUA